ACAGUCAUUCAUUGUUCUGCAGAUGACUCCACUCACUGAAGUGCUAGAAUAUACUAAUUUUACUGUUUUCUUCCUAGCCCAAGCUGAAUAUUCAUGAGAUAAAAGGAAACUUUAAUAAGGGGAUUUUAAUAAGGUACAGCUUUAUAAAGCUAAAAAUCUUUAGCAGAAAUAUACUUGAGCUAACUUACAGAAACUGAGUGAGCAGCAAUUAGAUCAUUUCACAGAUAGGAGAUUUUGUGUUUUUUUCUUCCCCAAGGGAAAGAUAGUAAAUCUAAAACCAUGGAACUAGCUUGGGAGAUCUCUUGAGUUUCUGAUUGUGUUGUCUGUGAUGAUAAACAUGAGGAAAAAUAAAGAGCCAUUUCCCACAGCAGUGAUGUAGCUGCCAGACUCUAGAGUCUUCAGAUUCCUUUGUCACCCUCCAAUUUUGCAGAAUUGUUGGAAAGGACUCAGUUUUGCUUCCCAAGACGCCCUGACAUUCUGGAGACCCUGGACAUUUUGCAGAACGGAUCUCCUUCACUCUGUGCUGAUAUCAAGGCCAAUAUUAAAAGAACAGUGUGAUCAUGCCACUUGGCACCUGCUUGUGAUGAGUUCUGAGGUUUGGAGUGCAUGGAGUAGAGUAGGAGCACAGGACUCGAGAGAUCUUCUGAAUUACCCAGCUGCCUCAGUUAGUGCCUCCCUCUCCCAGGCCUCACACUGGAGAACCCUUUACAGAAGCAGAGCAAAUGACACUGUAAAAAUGCUUUGCCUAUCUCCACAGCUGUAAUUGUCAUUCCAUCAGGGUUCUAAGAAAGCAGAACCAUCUGGGGAAAUCAGCAUUGCUUCGCUCAGUCUCUGCCGGAAUUAAAAUGAUCUGAUGUGAAGAUGAAGGAGAAAAAAACUCCAAAAUGCCUUGCUGUGGGAAUUAACCAGGGCUGUUGACCAGUAUCUACAGUCCAGUGUGAAAGAAAAAAUUUAUUUAAAUCCUGGAAUGUAAACUAGCGUUAUAAAAAAGGAAGGAGAGAGUUUGAUUCUAUUUUAAUAGAACAGAAAUUGCUGUCCUGAAAUUGUUGUGGGUGUACUCUAACAAAGUCCAAUGAAUUAUUCCUAGUUAUAAAGACUCCAGGAUGAGGUUAGCAUGCAUUGGAAUCAGUGAAAAAAAUAUUAAUUCUCAUUCCUAAAAUAUGACUUCAUAUUCCCAGGAUUGACGAGAUGAAGGAUAUGCAGUAAAUUAGUCCAACAUCCUCUUACCUCUAGGUCUGAACCCUGCUUAGAUCAUUGUUUGAAAUAAAUCGCUGUCUUUAUCUGAA